rnacentral:rRNA from 1 species
AUGAUUCUGGGCUAUUCGCCCGAUGAGAGCCAGAGCAUCGCUAACCGGCUUAACUGUCGGUUGGGGACAUUCCCCACUACCUACCUGGGGGUCCCCAUUAGUGACUCCCACCUGACCAUGUCCGACCUACGGCCCUCGGUGCUCAAGCUCUAACACCGCAUCGAGCCGUGGCAGGGUCGUUGGCUCUCUAAGGUGGCUCGUACGAUCCUCAUCAACUGGUCCCUUUCCAGCCUCCUUCUAUUCAUCAUGAGCUUCUAUAGCCUCCCCAAGACUCUCCACCAUGAGAUUGGUUCGGUCCAGGCCCGGUUCUAUUGGGCGGGCGAGGGCGACAAGCAAAAGUACCAUAUAGUGUGCUGGUCUGAAAUCUGUAAGCCCCGGGAUCAAGGUGGUCUUGGUAUCAUGUCCUCCAAACGCAUGAACCUGGCACUCCUCAGUCGUUGGCUCUGGUGCAUUGCGAAUGGCGAUGGCGGCCUGUGGUUGUAG